rnacentral:misc_RNA from 1 species
GAUGAAGAACGUAGUGAAAUGCGAUAAGUAAUGUGAAUUGCAGAAUUCAGUGAAUCAUCGAAUCUUUGAACGCACAUUGCGCCCGCCAGUAUUCUGGCGGGCACGCCUGUCUGAGCGUCAUUUCAACCCUCAUGCCCCUAGGGCGUGGUGUUGGGGAUCGGCCAAAGCCCGCGAGGGACGGCCGGCCCCUAAAUCUAGUGGCGGACCCGUCGUGGCCUCCUCUGCGAAGUAGUGAUAUUCCGCAUCGGAGAGCGAUGAGCCCCUGCCGUUAAACCCCCAACUUUCCAAGGUUGACCUCAGAUCAGGUAGGAAUACCCGCUGAACUUAAGCAUAUCAAUAAGCGGAGGA